rnacentral:tRNA from 1 species
AGUAGCUCAGUGGUGGAGCACUCGGCUGUUAACCGAUAGGCCGUAGGUUCGAAUCCUACC